GAUGAACGCUGGCGGCGUGCCUAAUACAUGCAAGUCGAGCGAACAGACGAGGAGCUUGCUCCUCUGACGUUAGCGGCGGACGGGUGAGUAACACGUGGAUAACCUACCUAUAAGACUGGGAUAACUUAGGGAAACCGGAGCUAAUACCGGAUAAUAUAUUGAACCGCAUGGUUCAAUAGUGAAAGACGGUUUUGCUGUCACUUAUAGAUGGAUCCGCGCCGCAUUAGCUAGUUGGUAAGGUAACGGCUUACCAAGGCAACGAUGCGUAGCCGACCUGAGAGGGUGAUCGGCCACACUGGAACUGAGACACGGUCCAGACUCCUACGGGAGGCAGCAGUAGGGAAUCUUCCGCAAUGGGCGAAAGCCUGACGGAGCAACGCCGCGUGAGUGAUGAAGGUCCUCGGAUCGUAAAACUCUGUUAUUAGGGAAGAACAAAUGUGUAAGUAACUAUGCACGUCUUGACGGUACCUAAUCAGAAAGCCACGGCUAACUACGUG
rnacentral:rRNA from 1 species